CUGGGAUGAAUCACAAGGCGAUCGGGAUUGGGAAAGCCUGGGUGUUCAGUUUUGUAGUUGGAUUGACCUGCUUGUGCGACAGAUUUAUAGAGGUUGAUGCUUCAAUCCAUGAGUAUCGAAACGACGUUUUCAUCCCCAAGUCAAAUGCUUUCUUCUUCCAUGGCGGCAGCGAAGCUCUUUUCGCUUCUAAGCUACACGAUUCUUCUUCUCCGAAUUCCACUGACAAAUCCCUCAAAGGCAAGUCCUUCAUCAGGUUUGAAACUGUUACUUUCGUGAGGACGAAAGAAUCAGCUAGUCAGACGAACGAAAUGCAGCAAUUUACUGGAUUGGUUGAGGCCAUCAUUUUCGAGGUCAAAGAUAGGGAGCGAAUUGGAGGCUCCUUCCUAAAGUCAGAUAUUAUAUGCUGCACACGCAGUCUUCAUGACGCUGGACAUUGCAAGUCAG
rnacentral:misc_RNA from 1 species